GACGAACGCUGGCGGCGUGCUUAACACAUGCAAGUCGAACGGAAAGGCCUCUUUCGGGGGGUACUCGAGUUGCGAACGGGUGAGUAACACGUGAGUAGCUUGCCCUUGUCUUUGGGAUAACUUCAGGAAACUGGGGCUAAUACCGGCUAGGAGCUCCUGCUGCAUGGUGGGGGCUGGAAAGUUUCGGCGGUUGGGGCUGGAUUGGCGGGGUAUCAGCUUGUUGGUGGGGAAGUGGCUUACCAAGGCCUUGACGGGUAGCCGGCCUGAGAGGGUGACCGGCGGCCCUGGGUCUUAGAGACGGCAGAGGCUCGGACGGGAGGCAGCAGGGGGGAAUCUUGCACGAGGGGUGGAGGGUUGAUGCAGCAGCGCUGCGGGCGGGAUGACGGUGUUCGGGUGGUAGACCGCUUGUGCUCAUGACGAAGCUUUGUGUGACGGUAGUGGGUAAAGAAGCACCGGCUAACUACGUG
rnacentral:rRNA from 1 species